rnacentral:rRNA from 1 species
AGAGUUUGAUCCUGGCUCAGGAUGAACGCUGGCGGCGUGCCUAAUACAUGCAAGUCGAGCGAGAAAGGCGACUUCGGUCGCUGAGUAGAGCGGCGAACGGGUGAGGAACACGUAGGUGACCUGCCCCUCGGAGCGGGACAACCAGUGGAAACGCUGGCUAACACCGCAUAAGCUCACAGCCAUUAGAAGGUGGUGAGAAAAGACUGAGGUGCCGAGGGAGGGGCCUGCGGCCCAUCAGCUAGUUGGUAGGGUAACGGCCUACCAAGGCGAAGACGGGUAGGGGGCCUGAGAGGGUGGUCCCCCACACGGGAACUGAGACACGGUCCCGACACCUACGGGUGGCUGC